UAUUAUGGCUUUUUUUUUUUUUUUUUUUAAUAUAGUUUUUCACGGCUCUGGGUGCAUGCCCUUUUAAGCCAGUCUUUGAAGUCCGUUGAACUUUUGUUUGAAUUUGACACAUGAACUGUGUUUGACACUUCACUUCACUGAUUCACUGUGAUUCACUGAUAUUUUCUUAGUUCUUACUCUUCUCAAUUUCUCAAAUAGUUCCCAGAGUUGAAACCACGAAAGUAUAUAAGGGUUUGAAAAGUUUCGGAUCCUUGAGGAGUUCGUCCAACGACUGUGGUACACGUUCACAAAUAGAUUGAAGGUCAUCGAUCAUGACCAGUCUCUGGAUUCCAAAACUUCUACAUUUCAGGAUUAUGUGUUCCAUAUCGGCAAGCUCUUCAUUGCAAUAUGUACAUUCAGCGCUCGGAAUCAAGUUAAGCCUCUUCAGGUCUUGACUGAUUGCGGCUUGAUAGUCAGUGUGAGGUAUCUUCAACAACGUAGAAUGGUCAACAUCAAAGCCAUUCCUUGCAGCCAGAUCAACAAUUUCAUUCCCCCUGAUGCCACGGUGCGAUGGUACCCAAAGGAAGAGCAGUGUCUUACCAACUACCCCGGGUACUCCAAUAUCACAUAAGAUGGCUAUUAAAAUUGAGGGGACCACGUUAUCGAACGCGCCCUGUACAUCAAGGAAGACACAAGCUGUAGCAGAGUGACUGUCAAGAGAAUUCCUAAGGUCUGAGACCAAUGCUGUAAAACUUUCUGCUGCACUUCGGCCUUUCCUAAAUCCGAAUUGUUCAUUUGGUAAGAUAUUAUUUGAUUCGACAUAAUAAUCUAAUCUUGUCUUUAACAUGCACUCAAAUACUUUACCUAUACAUGAGGACAGAGAAAUUGGUCGAUAAGAGUUACAGUCAUCAGGAGGCUUAUCUGGUUUAAGUAUAGGGAUGACACACUGAGUCUUCCAUGAGUCUGGGAUGACCUGUGUUUGCCAUAGUAAAUUAAAAAUGUACAGUAAAAGUUUUUUGGCAUUACUAUGUAGGCGACGAAUAAGUUCAUAAGGAAUAUUGUCUAAACCAGGUGUAGUGUUCCUACGAGACUUCAAGGCAGUCAUAAACUCUUCCCAAGAAAAAUGUUGAGAUAAAAAAGCUGCUUUUUCGUUACCAAUUUGACAGAAAUAUGCUUGCAAUAAUGAAU